AUGCCACGACGAGAGUCGUUCAGUUGGGACAAAAAUCACUAGCCAUGGGCCGAGACGAGACACAUUGCCGUCGUACUCAAUUCAUAUUCCGCAUUCGAGAGCUCAAGCGAGCGUUAAUGGGCCAAAAUAACUACGAUCGCAACUCGAGUUAUGUGGGACAAAAGCGACGCUUCGAGGUUCACCGCGUCGAAAGCCCAUAGCAAAAUGGGCAAACGUCGAGUGAAUGAUACACAAUUUGGCAGCAUAAUUCCGUAUAGUGGGCACGCAACACAGGAAACAAAAUAAAAUUGUCAGCCAAGGCAAGGUGCUCUUGUACCGUCAAAUGAGGAGAAGCGCACGGCCGGCCGUCACCGCCACAGCAAUGAUCCAACCCACCCAUACAAGA
rnacentral:misc_RNA from 1 species